GGCCAAAUUUUUAAGAAAGCCGCGAGAAAUAAUUUUCAUAAUUACUUGCAAUAUUAACAUAUGAUGUCAUUAUCUAUAAGUAGUAGUAUAUAGUAGUUUGUACAAGUAAAUUAUUGUAUUUGUUUCAAAGUUCAAUUCAAUGGAAAAUAUAACAUACCCCUAAUGAUCAUUCGGGCGUAUCACAUAAGAAAACAUUUGGAUUGUGAACUGUACACCUAAUAAGUGCGACGCCUUUAUUACUCAGCUCGCUAGGUGAGGCUCAAUGCAUUGUUUAUACUUAUUAAAUAAUAAGCAUCUUAACAUGUCCAAAUCUUAAAUUAUAGAUCUCUAAGAAACACAUCCAUAUGUAAAAUAGUUACAAAAAACGAAAAUAAAUAGUGUCUCUACUGGAUUGCUGCAAUAAAAAUAACAACUGAUGACCUAUUUGAAAACAAUGAAGCUGGCAUAAGAAUAAACAAAAGAUUGUGGGUUCACUGAAUUCGAGAUCGUCGGUGGAAGAAUAUAUUUCAGUAAUCUCAUGUACGUUAUGAAACUAUCCCCGUAUGGAGUAGGAUCACGUAAAUUUGCUCAACCUCAGGGCACAGGGCCGGACGAAGGGAAACUAUACGAGGGCAAUCGUUUCACUGAAAGACCUAAAGGCUGUCUCAAAAAUCGAAUCUGAGAAGUGUUUCGACGAUUGGAAAAAGCGCUGACAUAAGUACAUAAUAAUGAAUGGGUACUAUUUUGAAGGCGACAACAUAAAUGUAGACGAAUGAAUUCAAAAAACGAAAAUUCCCGUUAUUUUUUGAACACAUUUCGUAAACAACAAAAACAAACGGGAUUCCUACAAGAAAUUGAAACGGUGCCUUCAUCAUGAUGGAAAAAUCUAGUUCGGUGAUUUUAAUGCCAGACCGACAACCGGUCUGGUCGAUUUGUUGCAAAAUUUACUCUAAAACAAAGUUCUGGCAACGGUCCAUGACUGACCGAUUUUCCUGUCACCCUAAACCUGCUUGCCAGGCACAAGCCUAAGGCACCACACUGCAUGGAUAAAAACCGAUGAACCGAUGAUAAAACGAAAAACCGAUAUACCAAAUCAAUCGUACAGUUGUCUACAAAGGCUUGAACCCGCUUAUGGGAACUGUUAUAAGUUUUUGGAGUUUCUUUAGAAACAUAUAGUUAGGCACCACUGAUUUUCGUCAUACUUAUGGUAUAUUCUUCCAGACAAAGCAUAGUAUUUAAUCAUAUUUGAAGUAAUUUAACCUCAAGUGGAAAUACUUUCUGUAAUAAAUGAACUAAAAGGCUAUCUAAUCGGGAGAUCCAAGCAUCAUCUAUUUAAAUUAAAAUUGGCAAUAAUUUGUUAAUUUGUUUCAGUCUAUAAAAUAUUUUUUAAUUUACAGUUUUUUAAGAUAAAAUUUAACGAAUCAGUUUUAAAAGUGACACUAGUACACAUUUCUCAGUUCAUAGACCCGCAAAACUUCCUAGCGACAUCCUUAAAUGGGAAACUUUUUUAUUUGACAAGAUAUCUUAAUGAAAUUCGGUACAAAUUAUUGUUCAAAGCAGAGCCACGAUCUCUGAAAGAUGUUUAGAUCGGAUCUUUAUAGCACCUAGUUGCGUUACAAACGGGAAACUGUGAAGGGUAUAACAGCUUCGGUGCAAACUAAGUUAACGUUUUUUCUUGGUAUUUUUAUUUCUCUUCAAAAUUUAUUUUAUUGAGCUUUUCGUUCACACACAACCAUAAUUUUCCGCUUCAAUUCUUUUGAGACUGCAAUUAACUAAAUCGUCUUUAAAUUUGUAGAAAAAUAAAAUAAGAAAUAGUUUUAGUUAUUUUUUGUGUUGUUUUUGUUUUAUAAUAACUCACUCACUCUUUGUACUUUGUACUUUGCACUGAAAGUCCCAGAAUUCCUAAACUAAAUACCGA